CCUACCCAGUCCUGAUUCCGCCAUCUGUCUCACAGUCCUCCAGGCUUGGACCAGCCUUGGGGGCAGCAGAGCUCCUGGGCUGACAUGGGCUCAUCGCUCCUCCUCUAAGCCCUAUGAGGACAUCAAAAGCGUGGACACAUCACUUUCCACCAUCUUGCUGCCCACUGUCCCUCCAUCCUGAUGCCUCCUAAGCACCUGUGUGGAGUGGCAGGCACACUGCUGAUAGUUGUGGAUGUGGCCGUGACAUCCUUCACCCCUGCCCCCAUGGCAUUCAUGAUCCAUUAGGGAGGACCGUCUGCACAAAGGUUGAAAUAGACCAUGGCAUCUGUCUUGGAUGCAUACUCUCUCUCGCUGGCUCUGGGGGAAGCCAAAUGCCAUGCUGUGUGCUGCCCUGUGAAGAGGCAUGGCCAGUAAGGAACUGAGGGAAGGAACUAGUGGAGACUUGGGGUCCCCAGGCCAGCUGCCCAUUGGGAAUGAAAUUCGACCAGCAGCCACCUGGGGAAGCUGGAAGUGAACCUCCUCUUCGCUGAGCCUUCUGAUGAGAUUGCAGCCCCAGCUGACACCUGGAUUGCAGACUCGUGAAAGACCCUGAGUAGAGGACGUAGUUUGGCAGAGCCCGAAUUCCUGACCCAUGGGAACUGGGAGAUAAAACUCUGUAGUUUUAAUCUUCUCAUUUUAGAGGUAAUUUUUUGUGUAGCAAUAGGUAACUGACAAUGCAC
rnacentral:lncRNA from 1 species